rnacentral:lncRNA from 1 species
AAACAAAUUAAGUUUUCUAGGUCUGGUUUUAAAAUGGAAAUGAACAAAAUAAGCCAUUUGUACAUUAAAUGUCUUCAAGAUACUGAUCUCUUCAUAAAAAGGUUAGGGUUUGGUGUAAAUUGAACCAUUACCAAGAAAGUAAAACUUAGAUUGUCCAUCUUUAUGCAUUCCAUUAAUUCUAAAAAUUUCAUAGUUCUGAAUCAGAACUAACUGCAUUAACAAAUUAUGUAUGCUGAAUUAGUCACAUUACUCAAGUCCUGUUUUUUUUUUUCUCUGCAGAAUAUUUGUCACACAGAUAUUUAAAUGGAAUCAGGGCUGUAUAUAACCAUGACAUAAUACUUUGUCAAAAAGUGAAAAGUUAAUCUGGUUGAAGGUAUUUUUACCUGGCAUAUGGAGAAGAUGAUGACAAUAAUGUGGAACUUGAUUAGACAUCAACAGAGACUCAAUGCCUCCUGGAAAACACCUGAGAAAUGAUUGAAGCUCGCUCUGGUCUUGCCUGGAAUCAUGCAUAACAUUUGUUGCUGCCUGCAUGUGGAUUCAUUUUAGCAGUUUAUCAAUUUGGACAGGGAAUUUUGAAUAAAAAAU